rnacentral:ncRNA from 1 species
AUCCAUGUUUUUCAUGUUAAAGUUAAAAGUUUGAUUAAUGCUUAAUUAUUCAUUUUAAGUUAAUGUUAACAUGGAGGAUUUUUCUUGUUUUAUAUACACAGUUAAAUUGUGUAUUACUUUAUAUUCCCAGUUUUUAAUAUUAAUAAAUUAAUUAGGGUUAGAUUUAGUUAAAUUUAUAAUUAUCUAACUAAGUUUGUGCCAGCAGUUGCGGUUAUACAAUAAGGUAUAAUGAAUAUUCUUGGUUAAUAUUAUUUUGUUUUUGUUAAUAUAUAAUAUACACAUUGUUAGGUGAAAUUUUAAUUUAUAAAUUAUAUAUAUGUUAAUUGUAUAUGAAAGCUGAUUUAAAGACUAGGAUUAGAUACCCUAUUAUUUUAGCUGUAAAAUAAUAAUCAUAGUACUAAGAGUUAUGAUCUUGAAAUUAAAAUAAUUUGGCGGUAAUUUAAUCUUUCCAGAGGAACCUGCCCUGUAAUUGAUAAUCCACGUUAGAUUUAACUUUAUUUUGACUUGUAUACCUCUGUCAUUGAAUGUUCUGAUAAGUUAUUUUCUUAUAUUUUGGUAAAAAAAUAUGUCAGGUCAAGGUGCAGUAAUAAUAAAGUAGAGGUGGGUUACUUUUAAAUUAUUAGUGGAUGAAUAUUUGAAAUAAUAGAAUUAAAUAGGAUUUGGUAGUAAGUUUAAUUAAUUAAUAGAACUGAUUAAGGCUCUAAAUUAUGCACAUAUCGCCCGUCGCUUUCAUUAGAGAUGAAAUAAGUCGUAACAAAGUAGAUCUACCGGAAGGUGGAUCUAGGAAGUU